AGACCCCGCGCCUAGGAGGCCCGCCCCCCGCGCCAAGCACAUGCGAGAGUGGGAAGCCAAAGCGACCAAAGACGCCGAAAGGAAACCAAGCAGGGAAUUGGUGCAAGAGGAGGAAGAACAGUUGAUGGAAGAAAAGAGAAAGAGGAAAGACGACAAGAGAAAGAAAGAAGCUGCUCAGAAGAAGGUGAGCGGGAGAAUAAGGUGUUUCAUGAAGUGAAGGAGUGCCCUCAGGUUACCUGAAUGCUGU